rnacentral:rRNA from 1 species
CCUACGGGAGGCAGCAGUGAGGAAUAUUGGUCAAUGGGCGCGAGCCUGAACCAGCCAAGUCGCGUGAGGGAAGAAGGUCCUAUGGAUUGUAAACCUCUUUUGUCGGGGAGCAAAAGACGCCACGCGUGGCGUUCCGAGAGUACCCGAAGAAAAAGCAUCGGCUAACUCCGUGCCAGCAGCCGCGGUAAUACGGAGGAUGCGAGCGUUAUCCGGAUUUAUUGGGUUUAAAGGGUGCGCAGGCGGAAGAUUAAGUCAGCGGUAAAAUUGAGAGGCUCAACCUCGUCGAGCCGUUGAAACUGGUUGUCUUGAGUGAGUGAGAAGUAUGCGGAAUGCGUGGUGUAGCGGUGAAAUGCAUAGAUAUCACGCAGAACUCCGAUUGCGAAGGCAGCAUACCGGCGCUCAACUGACGCUCAUGCACGAAAGUGUGGGUAUCGAACAGGAUUAGAUACCCUAGUAGUC